AGACCGAUAAUCCUGAUGUGGUCC
rnacentral:siRNA from 1 species